CCCGAAUGGGGAAACCCAGUGUGACUCGUCACACUAUCAUUAACUGAAUCCAUAGGUUAAUGAGGCGAACCGGGGGAACUGAAACAUCUAAGUACCCCGAGGAAAAGAAAUCAACCGAGAUUCCCCCAGUAGCGGCGAGCGAACGGGGAGGAGCCCAGAGCCUGAAUCAGCAUGUGUGUUAGUGGAAGCGUCUGGAAAGGCGCGCGAUACAGGGUGACAGCCCCGUACACAAAAGCGCAUGUGCUGUGAGCUCGAUGAGUAGGGCGGGACACGUGGUAUCCUGUCUGAAUAUGGGGGGACCAUCCUCCAAGGCUAAAUACUCCUGACUGACCGAUAGUGAACCAGUACCGUGAGGGAAAGGCGAAAAGAACCCCGGCGAGGGGAGUGAAAAAGAACCUGAAACCGUGUACGUACAAGCAGUGGGAGCACAGGUUUACCUGUGUGACUGCGUACCUUUUGUAUAAUGGGUCAGCGACUUAUAUUCUGUAGCAAGGUUAACCGUAUAGGGGAGCCGGAGGGAAACCGAGUCUUAACCGGGCGUUAAGUUGCAGGGUAUAGACCCGAAACCCGGUGAUCUAGCCAUGGGCAGGUUGAAGGUUGGGUAACACUAACUGGAGGACCGAACCGACUAAUGUUGAAAAAUUAGCGGAUGACCUGUGGCUGGGGGUGAAAGGCCAAUCAAACCGGGAGAUAGCUGGUUCUCCCCGAAAGCUAUUUAGGUAGCGCCUCGUGAAUUCAUCUCCGGGGGUAGAGCACUGUUUCGGCUAGGGGGCCAUCCCGGCUUACCAACCCGAUGCAAACUGCGAAUACCGGAGAAUGUUAUCACGGGAGACACACGGCGGGUGCUAACGUCCGUCGUGAAGAGGGAAACAACCCAGACCGCCAGCUAAGGUCCCAAAGUCAUGGUUAAGUGGGAAACGAUGUGGGAAGGCCCAGACAGCCAGGAUGUUGGCUUAGAAGCAGCCAUCAUUUAAAGAAAGCGUAAUAGCUCACUGGUCGAGUCGGCCUGCGCGGAAGAUGUAACGGGGCUAAACCAU
rnacentral:rRNA from 1 species